rnacentral:rRNA from 1 species
AUACGUAGGGAGCGAGCGUUGUCCGGAAUUACUGGGUGUAAAGGGAGCGUAGGCGGGAGUGCAAGUCAGAUGUGAAAUACAUGGGCUCAACCCAUGGGCUGCAUUUGAAACUGCAUUUCUUGAGUGAAGUAGAGGUAAGCGGAAUUCCUGGUGUAGCGGUGAAAUGCGUAGAUAUCAGGAGGAACACCGGUGGCGAAGGCGGCUUACUGGGCUUUUACUGACGCUGAGGCUCGAAAGCGUGGGGAGCAAACAGGAUUAAAUACCCUGGUAGUCCACGCUGUAAACGAUGAUUACUAGGUGUGGGGGGACUGACCCCUUCCGUGCCGCAGUUAACACAAUAAGUAAUCCACCUGGGGAGUACGGCCGCAAGGUUGAAACUCAAAUGAAUUGACGGGG